UACGUAGGGGGCGAGCGUUGUCCGGAACGAUUGGGCGUAAAGGGCGCGCAGGCGGCCUGUCAAGUCAGUAGUGGAAGUCCAUUUUUCAAGGAUGGAAGUGCUAUAGAAACUGAUGGGCUUGAGUGCAGGAGAGGUUAUCGGAAUUCCCGGUGUAGCGGUGAAAUGCGUAGAGAUCGGGAGGAACACCAGUGGCGAAGGCGACUUUCUGGUCUAUUAUUGACGCUGAGGCUCGAAAGCAUGGGUAGCAAACAGGAUUAGAUACCCU
rnacentral:rRNA from 1 species